AACGUAGGUUCCGAGCGUUAUCCGGAUUUACUGGGCGUAAAGCGCGUUCAGGCGGUUUGGCAAGUCGGGCAUGAAAUCUCUCGGCUCAACCGGGAGAGGUUGUCCGAUACUGCUGGACUUGAGGGCAGUAGAGGGUGGUGGAAUUCCGGGUGUAGUGGUGAAAUGCGUAGAUAUCUGGAGGAACACCGGUGGCGAAGGCGGCAUCCUGGACCGGUAUUGACACUGAGGCGCGAAAGCCAGGGGAGCAAACGGG
rnacentral:rRNA from 1 species